rnacentral:rRNA from 1 species
AAACUUUCAACAACGGAUCUCUUGGUUCUGGCAUCGAUGAAGAACGCAGCGAAAUGCGAUAAGUAGUGUGAAUUGCAGAAUUCAGUGAAUCAUCGAAUCUUUGA